GCCCAGGUGGUGGAAUUGGUAGACACAACAGAUUUAGGUUCUGUUACCCACAAGGUGUGUAGGUUCGAGUCCUAUCCUGGGCA
rnacentral:tRNA from 1 species